rnacentral:rRNA from 1 species
CAAAAACAUAGCCCAGUGAUAAUACAUUGGGUGAUUUCUGCUCAAUGAGAUAUUAAAUAGCCGCAGUACCCUGACUGUGCAAAGGUAGCGAAAUCAAUUGGCUUCUAAUUAAAGUCCUGCAUGAAAGAAUAUAUGGGGGCCCACUAUACAGCUAUAUAUAAUGAAUUUACUUAGUGAGUGCAAAUUCUCAUAAAAAAAUAAUAGACGAGRAGACCCUAGAAAUUUUAACAAAUGUUUUUGUUGGGGCAACAUAGUAGCAGUUAACCUACUUUAAGUAUAUGAAAUAAAUUAGAUAAAUUAAAUUACUCUAGGGAUAACAGCAUAAUCUAAUAAGGUUUGUGACCUCGAUGUUGGACUAGGGAAUCGUGGUUUAGAAAACUCUCGCGUAUGCUCUGUUCGAGCA